rnacentral:misc_RNA from 1 species
UUUCCGUAGGUGAACCUGCGGAAGGAUCAUUGCACACACGAUGCAGCAAACUAGCGAACUGUGUUUGUCCCCCACCUACCCCAAACACGAGGGGCCGCAUCUGGAGGUGCGGCUGUCGACGGCAAGGUCCCGACCUUCGGGUCCCCGCAGUGGUUCCCGCAAGCGGGCUGAUCAUGUCGCCGUCUGGGUGUCCCGCGCGGGCUCUCGCCUUGCCUUAGGGUUGGGCGACGCGGGCAUUCUCCUCCCUUCGAUGGCGUCGUCCCCUCCUCCGGGAGAGCGACACGCCUCGAGGGCCGUUUACAACUUUGCACCAUGUACAACACCAGUGACUGCGUAUACCUGUGUCCCGGUUCCGCUGCUGCCCUCGGGUGGUGCGGGAUGGGUCCAUAGGAACAAGAGUAAAUAAAAACAACUCUCAGCAACGGAUAUCUUGGCUCUU